rnacentral:rRNA from 1 species
AGUGAACGCUGGCGGUAGGCCUAACACAUGCAAGUCGAACGGCAGCACACUAAGAGCUUGCUCUUACGGGUGGCGAGUCGCGUACGGGAGAGGAAUACAUCCGAAUCUACUUUUUCGUGGGGGAUCACGUAGGGAAACUUACGCUAAUACCGCAUACCACCUACGGGUGAAAGCAGGGGAUCUUCGGACCUUGCGGGAGUGGAUGGGCCGGUGGCUAAUUAGCUAGUUGGCGGGGUAGUGGCCUACCAAGGCGAUGAUGGGUAGCUGGCCUGAGAGGGUGACCGGCCACAAUGGGACUGAGAUACGGACCAGAGGCGUACGGGAGGCAGCGGUGGGGAAUAUUGCACAAUGGGCGGAAGCCGGAUGAAGCAACGCCGCGUGCGGGAUGACGUCCUUCGGGUAGUAAACCGCUGUAGCCUGUGACGAAGCGUGAGUGACGGUAAUGAGUAAAGAAGCACCGGCUAACUACGUG